rnacentral:rRNA from 1 species
AGUGAACGCUGGCGGUAGGCCUAACACAUGCAAGUCGAACGGCAGCACAGUAAGAGCUUGCUCUUACGGGUGGCGAGUGGCGGACGGGUGAGGAAUACAUCGGAAUCUACUUUUUCGUGGGGGAUAACGUAGGGAAACUUACGCUAAUACCGCAUACGACCUACGGGUGAAAGCAGUGGAUCUUCGGACCUUGCGCGAUUGAAUGAGCCGAUGUCGGAUUAGCUAGUUGGCGGGGUAAAGGCCCACCAAGGCGACGAUCCGUAGCUGGUCUGAGAGGAUGAUCAGCCACACUGGAACUGAGACACGGUCCAGACUCCUACGGGAGGCAGCAGUGGGGAAUAUUGGACAAUGGGGGCAAGCCUGAUCCAGCCAUACCGCGUGGGUGAAGAAGGCCUUCGGGUUGUAAAGCCCUUUUGUUGGGAAAGAAAAGCAGCAGGUUAAUACCCCGCUGUUCUGACGGUACCCAAAGAAUAAGCACCGGCUAACUUCGUG